CAAAAGAAAAGGCACUGCAUAAAACAUUUAGAUUUCCAGAUCUAUAAGCUCAACCAUGAAGGAAGCUGAUUAUAAAACUCAAGCUCCAUCAGUGAUCAGUCCAGCCCAACUCCACUACUGGUUAGCCAAAAGAUGGCAUUUUGCUCUUUGCAUAUUUAUCAUUAUACAUAUUUAUCAUGUGAUUCAUAUUAAUCAUACAUAAC
rnacentral:lncRNA from 1 species